rnacentral:rRNA from 1 species
CGAAAGCCUGACGGAGCAAUACCGCGUGAGGGACGAAGGCCUGUGGGUUGUAAACCUCUUUUGUUAGGGAAGAUAAUGACGGUACCUAACGAAUAAGCAUCGGCUAACUCCGUGCCAGCAGCCGCGGUAAGACGGAGGAUGCAAGCGUUAUCCGGAAUUAUUGGGCGUAAAGCGUACGUAGGCUGUUUCAUAAGUCUGUUGUCAAAGCCCGAGGCUCAACCUUGGAUCGGCAAUGGAAACUGUGAGACUAGAGAGAGAUAGGGGCAGGAGGAAUUCCAGGUGUAGCGGUGAAAUGCGUAGAUAUCUGGAAGAACACCAGUGGCGAAAGCGUCCUGCUGGAUCUCAACUGACGCUGAAGUACGAAAGCUAGGGGAGCGAAUGGGAUUAGAUACCCCAGUAGUCCUAGCCGUAAACGAUGGGUACUAGGUGUUGGUCGUAUCGACCCGAUCAGUGCCGUAGCUAACGCGUUAAGUACCCCGCCUGGGGAGUACGGUCGCAAGAUUGAAACUCAAAGGAAUUGACGGGGGCCCGCACAAGCGGUGGAGUAUGUGGUUUAAUUCGAUGCAACGCGAAGAACCUUACCAAGGCUUGACAUGUCGUGAAUCCUCUUGAAAGGGAGGAGUGCCUUCGGGAGCACGAACACAGGUGGUGCAUGGCUUCUCAGCUC